UCAAGCGGGACCGGUGGAGGAAAGUCCGGGCUCCAUGGAGACACGGUGGCGGUUAACGGCCGCCGGGGGCGACCCCAGGGAAAGUGCCACAGAAAGCAAACCGCCCCGGACUCGAUCCGGGGUAAGGGUGAAAGGGUGCGGUAAGAGCGCACCGCGCCGGCGGAGACGUCGGCGGCAGGGCAAACCCCACCGGGAGCAAGACCAAAUAGGGGCAGCCGGGCAUGCGCGGUGACGUGUGAUGCCAGGUCCGUUUCCAGACCCGCCGCCCGGGUUGGUUGCUUGAGGCGCGUAGCAAUGCGCGUCCCAGAUGAAUGGCCGUCGCGGAGAGGAAACUCUCCAGACAGAACCCGGCUUACAGGCCGGCUGGU
rnacentral:RNase_P_RNA from 11 species